rnacentral:tRNA from 1 species
GGGGCUGUAGCUCAGUGGUAGAGCGCUUGCCUAGCAUGCGUGAGGCACUGGGUUUGAUCCUCAGCACCA